rnacentral:rRNA from 1 species
UACGUAGGGGGCAAGCGUUGUCCGGAAUCAUUGGGCGUAAAGAGCGUGUAGGCGGCCCGGUAAGUCCGCCGUGAAAGUCCAGGGCUCAACCCUGGAAUGGCGGUGGAAACUGCCGGGCUGGAGUCCGGAAGAGGCGAGUGGAAUUCCUGGUGUAGCGGUGAAAUGCGCAGAUAUCAGGAGGAACACCAAUGGCGAAGGCAGCUCGCUGGGACGGUACUGACGCUGAGACGCGAAAGCGUGGGGAGCAAACAGG